rnacentral:rRNA from 1 species
GAUGAACGCUAGCGGCAGGCCUAAUACAUGCAAGUCGAACGGUGUCUUCGGACAUAGUGGCGCACGGGUGCGUAACACGUAUGCAACCUACCUUACAUUGGGGGAUAGCCUUUCGAAAGGGAGAUUAAUACCGCAUAAGACAGUAGCUGGGCAUCCAGCAGCUGUUAAAGAUUUAUCGAUGUAAGAUGGGCAUGCGUCCAAUUAGUUAGUUGGCGAGGUAACGGCUCACCAAGACUUUGAUUGGUAGGGGAACUGAGAGGUCAAUCCCCCACACUGGCACUGAGAUACGGGCCAGACUCCUACGGGAGGCAGCAGUAGGGAAUAUUGCACAAUGGACGAAAGUCUGACG